UAGGCGAUGGAUAACAGGUUGAUAUUCCUGUACCACCUAUAAUCGUUUUAAUCGAUGGGGGGACGCAGUAGGAUAGGCGAAGCGUGCGAUUGGAUUGCACGUCUAAGCAGUAAGGCUGAGUAUUAGGGAAAUCCGGUACUCAUUAAGGCUGAGCUGUGAUGGGGAGAAGACAUUGUGUCUUCGAGUCGUUGAUUUCACACUGCCGAGAAAAGCCUCUAGAUAGAAAAUAGGUGCCCGUACCGCAAACCGACACAG
rnacentral:rRNA from 1 species